rnacentral:rRNA from 1 species
GACGUAGGGCGCGAGCGUUGUCCGGAUUUAUUGGGCGUAAAGAGCUCGUAGGCGGCUUGUCGCGUCGGCUGUGAAAUCCCGUGGCUUAACUGCGGGUCUGCAGCCGAUACGGGCAGGCUAGAGUUCGGUAGGGGAGACUGGAAUUCCUGGUGUAGCGGUGAAAUGCGCAGAUAUCAGGAGGAACACUGGUGGCGAAGGCGGGUCUCUGGGCCGAUACUGACGCUGAGGAGCGAAAGCGUGGGGAGCGAACAGG